rnacentral:lncRNA from 12 species
CCUUGGGCUGCCCUCUGUGUUCUGGGGCUGCUGAUCCACGAGGCUGAGCUCCAGCAGGUAGAAGUCACUGAAGUAUCCAAAUCCCUUCCAACAUUCUUCAAGAAAUGGAAACUCCAGCAGACACCACAUGCUGAUGGCUUCACCACUGUCCUUCACCAUACACUGCAGAUUAGCAGAUUAGCAGAAGUCUUAUGAUCCACCUCUUUCCUGGUAUGCUGGAGACACUGCUAAAAAUAGAGUAAGUAGCAGAGCUACCUGAAAUGGUCUGAGCCUAAACAGUGGUAAAAAUUAAUUUACAGUGAAUGUCAGUUCUGGCUUGUUUCCAAAGGAAUGGUUUGGGAUGGCUUGCUGUAUACUGGAAAUUGUUUGGUAAGGAUUCGUUGGCAAAGAGAUGAAUCAAAGUGACAUUUCCAUUACC